GUAUGCUGGAUAAGUCAGAGGCAGUGAGUGGCCAAGAGGAGAUGCUUGAAGAGAAAGAAGAGAAGGGAAGAAACCAUCAGUGGGAACCAAAAGGGGAAGUAGGAGAGGAUAGAGGGACAAAUGAAACGAAGCAGGAAAGUGAGCUGGGGCAGACUUUGUGUAACAAGGAGGUUCUGCAAAGGUCACCAGGCUGGGAUCAGUUUGUAGAGGAACAGUGGACAAGGCUAGAGGGGACAGCAGCAUCUGUGGAAUUUCAGACUGGGGAAUUGGAAGAGGCAGACAAAAUGGCAGAGAGUCAGUGCUUGGAAGGUGAAUUACAUGGAGAAGCAGAAGUGGAAAAAGAUGUUGAGGAAAAGAAGGUUGUGACAGAUACAGUAGAAGGGAAAGAAGAAGUUCACAAAGGAAUGCCAAGUUGGGAAGAGACUGGAGGAGACCCGCAGAAGCUGAUAGAAGAAGUAGAGAGACGCUCUCAGUGGGAGUCAAAGGAAGAAGCAGAAGAUUCAGGAGAAACGACAGUGGCUCUGGAAAGGGAGCCGGUAGAGACUUUGUUUAACAACAAGGUUCCACAAAUAUCACUGGACUGGGAACAAUUUGUAGAGGAACAGCGGGUAGGACUAGAGAGGACAGCACCAUCUGUGGCAUCACAGUGUGGGAAGCUAGAAGAGACAGAAAAAACUGUAGAGAAACAGUGUUUGGAAGUGGAGAGGGAUCAUGUAAAAGAAGUAGAAGUGGCUGAAGAAUGGAAAGGAAUGGUAGAUAUAGUAGCAGGGAAAGAAGAAAUUCAGAAAGCAAUACCAAGUGGGGAAGAGAUUGAAGUUGACCAGCAGGCGGACAUAGAAAUGGAAGAAGAGAUGGAGAGAAGUUGUCAGUGGGAAUCAAAAGAAGAAGUAGAAGAGGUAGAAAAAAACUCAGAGGAUCAGGAGAGGGAGCUAGAAGGAACUUGGAGAAGCAAGGAGACUCAGCAAGAUGCACCAGAGAGAACCCAAUAUGUUAUAGAAGAGGAGGAGCUGGCAAAAAUGCUAGCAUGGACUGGAGGACUUCAGCAUGGGCUGAUGGAUCUCGUGGCAGAGGUUGAGCAGUUGGAGGUUGAGCAGGAAGAGGUAAAGGCAGGUAAAUGCAGCCAGCAGGAUUUGUCCACAGUGAAAGAAAUUCAAGAAGGAGUGCUAGAUGAGGCAAAGACCGGGAAAGAUCAUGAAGAGGACUCAAAAGGAAAUCAAGAUGUGAGAACUGAUCAGUGGGAACUUAGGGAAACUGCUAUGAAUUUCCAAGAACGGUAUGGGGAGACAAAGGAAAUAUCAGAUAACAGCAAAGAUCAGCAGGGAAAACUGCCAGAGGCAGAAGAGAAUGAAGGGGACCAGCAGAAAGAACCUGUGAAAAAUGAGGCACAUGCUACUGGGGAAGAACAUGAGGAGCACAUAGGAAGAGUACUGGAGAAAGACAAAGAGGAAGAGUCAAUGAAGCUGGCAGAAACUUGGUGUCUUGACAAAGAAGUACCAGCCAAGAUUACAGGGGACCAAUGGAGACAGCUAGAAGAAAAGCAGAAGAGCUUGCAGCAGCAGGGAUCCUUGUUACCUAGUGUCUCCGCUGAAAGAGCUCCACUCCCUGAGCCCCAAUCCUUCCAGGCUGAGGUCACACCUCUGGACACAAGUGCCCAGAAGGAACGAGUGCUCCUACGUCGGAAGAGCUCAAUUCGACGGGCACACAGCUUGAAAAGACCAAGGCCAUCAAUGGAGAACUUACCACAGGAGACAGAUGUAACCAGUUCCGUGAACACUCCACAUCAGACAGAUGUACCCAGUCCUAUAAACAUUCCACCCCAACCACAACCAUCACCCCAGGACCUCCCCAGACCAACCACUAGGGACGCUGUGGUAUGAGUGCCGCACCACCUUUACUACUAUUAGG
rnacentral:lncRNA from 11 species